rnacentral:rRNA from 1 species
GUGUAGCAGUUAUAUGNGUAGAUAUGUGGAGGUACCACCGAUGGCGAUGGCAGCCCCCUGGGAUAAUACUGACGUUCAUGCAUGAAAGCGUGGGGAGCAAACAGGAUNNAUACCCUGGUAGUCCACGCCCUAAACGAUGUCAACUAGCUGUUGGGCCCUUCAGGGCUUAGUAGCGCAGCUAACGCGUGAAGUUGACCACCUGGGGAGUACGGUCGCAAGAUUAAAACUCAAAGGAAUUGACGGGGACCCGCACAAGCGGUGGAUGAUGUGGAUUAAUUCGAUGCAACGCGAAAAACCUUACCUACCCUUGACAUGUCUGGAAUCCUGAAGAGAUUUAGGAGUGCUCGCAAGAGAACCGGAACACAGGUGCUGCAUGGCUGUCGUCAGCUCGUGUCGUGAGAUGUUGGGUUAAGUCCCGCAACGAGCGCAACCCUUGUCAUUAGUUGCUACAUUUAGUUGAGCACUCUAAUGAGACUGCCGGUGACAAACCGGAGGAAGGUGGGGAUGACGUCAAGUCCUCAUGGCCCUUAUGGGUAGGGCUUCACACGUCAUACAAUGGUCGGGACAGAGGGUUGCCAAGCCGCAAGGUGGAGCCAAUCUCACAAACCCGAUCGUAGUCCCAAUUGCAGGCUGCAACUCGCCUGCAUGAAGUCCGGAAUCGCUAGUAAUCGCGGA